rnacentral:rRNA from 1 species
GACGAACGCUGGCGGUGUGCUUAACACAUGCAAGUCGAACGGUAAGGCCCUUUCGGGGGUCCACGAGUGGCGAACGGGUGCGUAACACGUGCGUAACCUGCACUCAUCUCUGGGAUAACAGUCGGAAACGGUUGCUAAUACUGGUUAUGAGCUAGAUAGGCAUCUUGUGGGUUGGAAAGAUUUUUUUGGGUUGGGGAUGGACUCGGGGCCUAUCAGCUUGUUCGUGGGGUAGUGGCUAACCAAGGCUUCGACGGGUAGCCGGCCUGAGAGGGCGACCGGCCACACUGGAACUGAGAGACGGCCCAAAGUCCGACGGGAGGCAGCAGUGGGGAAUAUUGCACAAUGGACGGAAGUCUGAGGCAGCAACGCCGCGGGCGGGAUGAAGGCUGUCGGGUGGUAAGCCGCUAUCAAUUGUGACGAAGCUUUUUUGUGACGGUAGCAGUAGAAGAAGCACCGGCUAACUACGUG